GACGAACGCUGGCGGCAUGCCUAACACAUGCAAAUCGAACGGAACUUGUUGAAUGAAGUUUUCGGAUGGAUUUUGACAAGUUUAGUGGCGGACGGGUGAGUAACGCGUGAGCAACCUGCCUUUCAGAGGGGGACAACAGUUGGAAACGACUGCUAAUACCGCAUAAGUGCACAGGACCGCAUGGUCUAGUGUAAAAAACUCCGGUGGUGUGAGAUGGACCCGCGUCUGAUUAGCUAGUUGGUGAGGUAACGGCCCACCAAGGCGACGAUCAGUAGCCGGCCUGAGAGGGUGAACGGCCACAUUGGGACUGAGACACGGCCCAAACUCCUACGGGAGGCAGCAGUGGGGAAUAUUGCACAAUGGGGGGAAACCCUGAUGCAGCAAUGCCCGCGUGAGUGAAGAAGUAUUUCGGUAUGUAAAGCUCUAUCAGCAGGGAAGAAAAUGACGGUACCUGACUAAGAAGCUCGGCUAAUACGUG
rnacentral:rRNA from 1 species